UACGUAGGGGGCAAGCGUUGUCCGGAAUUAUUGGGCGUAAAGAGCGUGUAGGCGGUUCGGUAGGUCCGUUGUGAAAACUCGAGGCUCAACCUUGAGACGCCGAUGGAAACCCUCGAACUAGAGUCCGGAAGAGGAGAGUGGAAUUCCUGGUGUAGCGGUGAAAUGCGCAGAUAUCAGGAAGAACACCCGUGGCUAAGGCGGCUCUCUAGUACGGUACUGACGCUGAGACGCGAAAGCGUGGGGAGCGAACAGG
rnacentral:rRNA from 1 species